rfam:Schistosoma mansoni strain Puerto Rico chromosome 4, complete genome
AGCUUUCUGAAUUCGUGUAGAGAUUUUGUCAGACACCAAUCUACCAAGACUGGUGAAACUCCUAAAAUAAGUGAAGUA